UACGAGGGGGGCAAGCGUUGUCCGGAAUCAUUGGGCGUAAAGGGCGCGUAGGUGGCUUCUUAAGCGUGCGGUGAAAGCCUGGGGCUCAACCCCGGGUCGGCCGUGCGAACUGGGGGGCUGGAGCACUGUAGAGGCAGGCGGAAUUCCGGGUGUAGCGGUGGAAUGCGUAGAGAUCCGGAAGAACACCGGUGGCGAAGGCGGCCUGCUGGGCAGUUGCUGACACUGAGGCGCGACAGCGUGGGGAGCAAACAGG
rnacentral:rRNA from 1 species